rnacentral:rRNA from 1 species
CGAGUCUUAACUGGGCGAAUGAGUUGCAGGGUAUAGACCCGAAACCCGGUGAUCUAUCCAUGGGCAGGUUGAAGGUUGGGUAACACUAACUGGAGGACCGAACCGACUAAUGUUGAAAAAUUAGCGGAUGACUUGUGGAUGGGGGUGAAAGGCCAAUCAAACCGGGAGAUAGCUGGUUCUCCCCGAAAGCUAUUUAGGUAGCGCCUCGUGAACUCAUCUUCGGGGGUAGAGCACUGUUUCGACUAGGGGGUCAUCCCGACUUACCAACUCGAUGCAAACUGCGAAUACCGAAGAAUGUUAUCACGGGAGACACACGGCGGGUGCUAACGUCCGUCGUGAAGAGGGAAACAACCCAGACCGCCAGCUAAGGUCCCAAAGUCAUGGUUAAGUGGGAAACGAAGUGGGAAGGCUCAGACAGCCAGGAUGUUGGCUUAGAAGCAGCCAUCAUUUAAAGAAAGCGUAAUAGCUCACUGGUCGAGUCGGCCCGCGCGGAAGAUGUAACGGGGCUAAACCAUGCACCGAAGCUGCGGCAGCGACACAAAGUGUUGUUGGGUAGGGGAGCGUUCUGUAAGCCUGCGAAGGUGUACUGUGAGGUAUGCUGGAGGUAUCAGAAGUGCGAAUGCUGACAUAAGUAACGAUAAUGCGGGUGAAAAACCCGCACGCCGGAAGACCAAGGGUUCCUGUCCAACGUUAAUCGGGGCAGGGUGAGUCGACCCCUAAGGCGAGGCUGAAAAGCGUAGUCGAUGGGAAACGGGUUAAUAUUCCCGUACUGGUGGUAACUGCGAUGGGGGAACGGAGAAGGCUAGGUUGUCCGGGCGACGGUCGUCCCGGUUCAAGCAGGUAGGCAGAGUGAUUAGGCAAAUCCGGUCACUUAAUGCUGAGAUGUGAUGACGAACCACCAAGGUGGUGAAGCAAUUGAUGCCCCGCUUCCAGGAAAAGCCUCUAAGCUUCAGGUUACCAACAAUCGUACCCCAAACCGACACAGGUGGUCAGGUAGAGAAUACUCAGGCGCUUGAGAGAACUCGGGUGAAGGAACUAGGCAAAAUGGUGCCGUAACUUCGGGAGAAGGCACGCUGGCGGUAGGUAAAGUCCCUCGCGGACGGCGCUGAAGCCAGUCGAAGAUACCAGCUGGCUGCAACUGUUUAUUAAAAACACAGCACUGUGCAAACACGAAAGUGGACGUAUACGGUGUGACGCCUGCCCGGUGCUGGAAGGUUAAUUGAUGGGGUCAGCCGUAAGGCGAAGCUCCUGAUCGAAGCCCCAGUAAACGGCGGCCGUAACUAUAACGGUCCUAAGGUAGCGAAAUUCCUUGUCGGGUAAGUUCCGACCUGCACGAAUGGCGUAAUGAUGGCCAGGCUGUCUCCACCCGAGACUCAGUGAAAUUGAACUCGCUGUGAAGAUGCAGUGUACCCGCGGCAAGACGGAAAGACCCCGUGAACCUUUACUAUAGCUUGACACUGAACAUUGAGCCUUGAUGUGUAGGAUAGGUGGGAGGCUUUGAAGUGUGGACGCCAGUCUGCAUGGAGCCAACCUUGAAAUACCACCCUUUAACGUUUGAUGUUCUAACCUAGGCCCAUAAACUGGGUCGGGGACCGUGUCUGGUGGGUAGUUUGACUGGGGCGGUCUCCUCCUAAAGAGUAACGGAGGAGCACGAAGGUUGGCUAAGCAUGGUCGGACAUCAUGCGGUUAGUGCAAAGGCAUAAGCCAGCUUGACUGCGAGAGUGACGGCUCGAGCAGGUACGAAAGUAGGUCUUAGUGAUCCGGUGGUUCUGAAUGGAAGGGCCAUCGCUCAACGGAUAAAAGGUACUCCGGGGAUAACAGGCUGAUACCGCCCAAGAGUUCAUAUCGACGGCGGUGUUUGGCACCUCGAUGUCGGCUCAUCACAUCCUGGGGCUGAAGUAGGUCCCAAGGGUAUGGCUGUUCGCCAUUUAAAGUGGUACGCGAGCUGGGUUUAGAACGUCGUGAGACAGUUCGGUCCCUAUCUGCCGUGGGCGUUGGAAGAUUGAGAGGGGUUGCUCCUAGUACGAGAGGACCGGAGUGAACGCACCACUGGUGUUCGGGUUGUCAUGCCAAUGGCAUUGCCCGGUAGCUAAGUGCGGAAGAGAUAACCGCUGAAAGCAUCUAAGCGGGAAACUUGCC